GACGAACGCUGGCGGCGUGCUUAACACAUGCAAGUCGAACGGAAAGGCCCUGCUUUUGUGGGGUGCUCGAGUGGCGAACGGGUGAGUAACACGUGAGUAACCUGCCCUUGACUUUGGGAUAACUUCAGGAAACUGGGGCUAAUACCGGAUAGGAGCUCCUGCUGCAUGGUGGGGGUUGGAAAGUUUCGGCGGUUGGGGAUGGACUCGCGGCUUAUCAGCUUGUUGGUGGGGUAGUGGCUUACCAAGGCUUUGACGGGUAGCCGGCCUGAGAGGGUGACCGGCCACAUUGGGACUGAGAUACGGCCCAGACUCCUACGGGAGGCAGCAGUGGGGAAUAUUGCACAAUGGGCGGAAGCCUGGUGCAGCAACGCCGCGUGCGGGAUGACGGCCUUCGGGUUGUAAACCGCUUUCGCCUGUGACGAAGCGUGAGUGACGGUAAUGGGUAAAGAAGCACCGGCUAACUACGUGCCAGCAGCCGCGGUGAUACGUAGGGUGCGAGCGUUGUCCGGAUUUAUUGGGCGUAAAGGGCUCGUAGGUGGUUGAUCGCGUCGGAAGUGUAAUCUUGGGGCUUAACCCUGAGCGUGCUUUCGAUACGGGUUGACUUGAGGAAGGUAGGGGAGAAUGGAAUUCCUGGUGGAGCGGUGGAAUGCGCAGAUAUCAGGAGGAACACCAGUGGCGAAGGCGGUUCUCUGGGCCUUUCCUGACGCUGAGGAGCGAAAGCGUGGGGAGCGAACAGGCUUAGAUACCCUGGUAGUCCACGCUGUAAACGGUGGGUACUAGGUGUGGGGUCCAUUCCACGGGUUCCGUGCCGUAGCUAACGCUUUAAGUACCCCGCCUGGGGAGUACGGCCGCAAGGCUAAAACUCAAAGGAAUUGACGGGGCCCCGCACAAGCGGCGGAGCAUGCGGAUUAAUUCGAUGCAACGCGUAGAACCUUACCUGGGUUUGACAUGGAUCGGGAGUGCUCAGAGAUGGGUGUGCCUCAUUUGGGGUCGGUUCACAGGUGGUGCAUGGCUGUCGUCAGCUCGUGUCGUGAGAUGUUGGGUUAAGUCCCGCAACGAGCGCAACCCUUGUUCACUGUUGCCAGCACGUUAUGGUGGGGACUCAGUGGAGACCGCCGGGGUCAACUCGGAGGAAGGUGGGGAUGACGUCAAGCCAUCAUGCCCCUUAUGUCCAGGGCUUCACGCAUGCUACAAUGGCUGGUACAGAGAGUGGCGAGCCUGUGAGGGUGAGCGAAUCUCGGAAAGCCGGUCUCAGUUCGGAUUGGGGUCUGCAACUCGACCUCAUGAAGUCGGAGUCGCUAGUAAUCGCAGAUCAGCAACGCUGCGGUGAAUACGUUCCCGGGGCU
rnacentral:rRNA from 1 species